CUCUCGGGUGACGAGUGGCGGACGGGUGAGUAAUGUCUGGGAAACUGCCUGAUGGAGGGGGAUAACUACUGGAAACGGUAGCUAAUACCGCAUAACGUCGCAAGACCAAAGAGGGGGACCUUCGGGCCUCUUGCCAUCAGAUGUGCCCAGAUGGGAUUAGCUAGUAGGUGGGGUAACGGCUCACCUAGGCGACGAUCCCUAGCUGGUCUGAGAGGAUGACCAGCCACACUGGAACUGAGACACGGUCCAGACUCCUACGGGAGGCAGCAGUGGGGAAUAUUGCACAAUGGGCGCAAGCCUGAUGCAGCCAUGCCGCGUGUAUGAAGAAGGCCUUCGGGUUGUAAAGUACUUUCAGCGGGGAGGAAGGUGUUGUGGUUAAUAACCGCAGCAAUUGACGUUACCCGCAGAAGAAGCACCGGCUAACUCCGUGCCAGCAGCCGCGGUAAUACGGAGGGUGCAAGCGUUAAUCGGAAUUACUGGGCGUAAAGCGCACGCAGGCGGUCUGUCAAGUCGGAUGUGAAAUCCCCGGGCUCAACCUGGGAACUGCAUUCGAAACUGGCAGGCUAGAGUCUUGUAGAGGGGGGUAGAAUUCCAGGUGUAGCGGUGAAAUGCGUAGAGAUCUGGAGGAAUACCGGUGGCGAAGGCGGCCCCCUGGACAAAGACUGACGCUCACGUGCGAAAGCGUGGGGAGCAAACAGGA
rnacentral:rRNA from 1 species